GGGAGAAUUCUUCCCAGCAAUGGGAGCGAAAGCCUGAUCGGAGCAACGCCGCGUGAGUGAUGAAGGUUUUCGGAUCGUAAAACUCUGUUGUUAGGGAAGAACAAAUGCGUUAGUAACUGAGCGUAUCUUGACGGUACCUUAUCAAAAAGCCACGGCUAACUACGUGCCAGCAGCCGCGGUAAAUAAAAAAAA
rnacentral:rRNA from 1 species